rnacentral:rRNA from 1 species
UACGGAGGAUGCAAGCGUUACCCGGAAUGAUUGGGCGUAAAGCGUCCGCAGGUGGCUAUGUAAGUCUGCUGUUAAAGAGUGAGGCUCAACCUCAUAAAAGCAGUGGAAACUACAUGGCUAGAGUGCGUUCGGGGCAGAGGGAAUUCCUGGUGUAGCGGUGAAAUGCGUAGAUAUCAGGAAGAACACCGGUGGCGAAAGCGCUCUGCUAGGCCGCAACUGACACUGAGGGACGAAAGCUAGGGGAGCGAAUGGG